rnacentral:rRNA from 1 species
AAAUGAAUUGACGGGGACCCGCACAAGCGGUGGAACAUGUGGUUUAAUUCGACAAUAAGCGAAGAACCUUACCAGGACUUGACAUCUCUGGAAUCUCCUAGAAAUAGGAGAGUGCCUUUUGGAACCAGAUGACAGGUGCUGCACGGUCGUCGUCAGCUCGUGCUGUGAAGUGUCCCGUUAAGUCGGUUAACGAGCGCAACCCCUAUUGUAUGUUAUAUUUCUCAUACAAGACUGCCGGCGUUAAGUCGGAGGAAGGCGGGGAUGACGUCAGAUCAGCGUGGCUCUUACGUCCUGGGCUACACACGUGUUACAAUGGGUAGAACAAAGGGUUGCUAAGCUGUAAAGCGGAGCUAAUCCCAUCAAAUCUACUCUCAGUUCGGAUUGAGGGCUGCAAUUCGCCCUCAUGAAGUCGGAAUCGCUAGUAAUCGUAGGUCAGCCAUACUACGGUGAAUACGUUCUCGGGUCUUGUACACACCGCCCGU